rnacentral:snoRNA from 1 species
CUGCGCUAACUCUCUGAGUCUCCUGGGGACUUAAAACAGUAUAAAUACUUGGUGCGCAAUGCUGCAAACAGCACCCUCCUUGGUAGUGUAUGCAACCUCUUGCUUGUAUGGGUUGCUCUAAGGGACCUUGGAGACAGUC